rnacentral:rRNA from 1 species
GCUUACGGCCAUACCACCCUGAACACGCCCGAUCUCGUCUGAUCUCGGAAGCUAAGCAGGGUCGGCCUGGUCAGUUACUGGAUGGGAGACCGCCUGGAAUACCAGUGCUGUAAGCU